rnacentral:rRNA from 1 species
UACGAAGGGGGCGAGCGUUGUUCGGAAUUACUGGGCGUAAAGGGCGCGCAGGCGGCUCUGAAAGUCAGAUGUGAAAUGCCCGGGCUUAACCUGGGAACUGCAUUUGUGACUGCAUGGCUAGAGUUUGGCAGAGGGGGGUAGAAUUCCACGUGUAGCAGUGAAAUGCGUAGAUAUGUGGAGGAACACCGAUGGCGAAGGCAGCCCCCUGGGUCAAGACUGACGCUCAUGCACGAAAGCGUGGGGAGCAAACAGG